CAGUCGCCACGGGAAUACGGAGGGUGCAAGCGUUAAUCGGAUUUACUGGGCGUAAAGCGUGCGUAGGCGGCUUCUUAAGUCGGAUGUGAAAUCCCUGAGCUUAACUUAGGAAUUGCAUUCGAUACUGGGAAGCUAGAGUAUGGGAGAGGAUGGUAGAAUUCCAGGUGUAGCGGUGAAAUGCGUAGAGAUCUGGAGGAAUACCGAUGGCGAAGGCAGCCAUCUGGCCUAAUACUGACGCUGAGGUACGAAAGCAUGGGGAGCAAACAGGAUUAGAUACCCCAGUAGUCCCUGUCUCUUAUAC
rnacentral:rRNA from 1 species